rnacentral:misc_RNA from 1 species
GGGAACCGAGUAGCUAUGCGCAUAUCGUGCAUGAAGAAGCAACGGCUCCUGAGGACGUUUCCAGCCGCUGUUCAGCCUCAUUCUGGUGGCUAUGACUUCCUCUUCUCCCCAACUCCAAUUUCUAACUUGAAACACUUGAAUCCAUGGAAGAUCUGGUGAGAUAUGAUGAGAGAGAGAUGGAUUGAUCAAUAGCUUUUCGACGAGUUUUUCAGUGAUCCAGCUGUUGGAUUGAUGAUACUCAGAGUUAUGAAACAUUUCGAUAUAGGAUCUAUUUCACUCUGAUUGGGCAUCAUUUAAAAGAGGU